rnacentral:tRNA from 1 species
UGUGUCUUAGUAUAUGAUGUAUGGAAGUUUUUGAUACUUAGGGAGGUGGUUUGAUUCUGCCAGGCACAG